GGGGGCUAUAGCCUCAGCUGGGAGAGCGCCUGCUUUGCACGCAGGAGGUCAGCGGUUCGAUCCCGCUAGUCUCCACCA
rnacentral:tRNA from 1 species